rnacentral:rRNA from 1 species
UACGGGGGGAGCAAGCGUUGUUCGGAUUUACUGGGCGUAAAGGGCGGGUAGGCGGCCACCGCAAGUCAGUUGUGAAAUCUCCGGGCUUAACCCGGAAAGGUCAACUGAUACUGCGGGGCUAGAGUGCAGAAGGGGCAACUGGAAUUCCCGGUGUAGCGGUGAAAUGCGUAGAGAUCGGGAGGAACACCAGCGGCGAAGGCGGCUUACUGGACAGUUACUGACACUCAACUACGAAAGCGUGGGGAGCAAACAGG